GCUGCCGGCGGACGCGGCGGCUGGCUCCCGUACUGCCCCAUCGAGGACGCCCCCCUUAACGGGUUGCGCGGCGCGCGCGGCGAGGGCCAACCCCGUGCUGCGCAAGGCAGGUCCAGGCGGCCUAGCACGCGGGGACAGCGAGCGGCGUGCGGCACAUGGGCGCAAGGAGUAGGGCGGCACGCGGAUGGUCUAGGCGCGGCCCUGUCCCGCUGCUACCUGGGCCGCGAAUGCUUGGAGACAAUCCUGAUGACCUGAUCUAGUUUUUCCCCUCCUUCAAAUCGACAAUCUCUUGCAGUGGUGGUCAUGACGCGAAUGGCGGCAUCCACUCUAGGCAUCGAAGCUUCCUCACACUCACCUGAGCUGUCGAAUCCUUGGGGGAUUCCUCUCCAUAGGCAUAAGGUGUCCGAUCGAGUUGGAUUUCACCUCCAAUAAUUGUUCCUGGUGAAUGCUAAACAAUCUAGGCAUCACAGUUUGGCCAGUGCUAGAUCUAAAUCCCAGCCUUGACUUCUGUUCCAUGUAGGGUUCCAUUGAAGCAUUGAUCUACCAGGGGAAGAGGUUCCAUUGAAUCGAGGAUGCCUGCAAUGGCAUAGGGAACCACCGGCAUGCUCCACUCUCAUGGACAGAACUGACACUGUACAAGCACGCAGGUGAAGGUGCAUACCCUGCAUCCCUACAUCGCCGCUUUGUCCCCGGCUUGAUUCAUCCAGAUAGAUCUUGCUGGUUGCUGCAAUCGAGAUCGAGUACACAUGCAGCAAGUUGAGCCCAGAUCUCAUUUGGCGUUGCAGCUUGCUGUUUCUGCAUUGUAAUGAACCUAACCGCUGGUGCUGGUCCCAUGGUGUGGAUAUCUAUCAUCUGGGAAGAUUGGCUAGAGCAUCUUGUGUUGUGCCUCCUUCUGUUUAGGUGCCAUGGUGCUCCUCGACAAGAUUGGCUAGGCAUCAGAGGAUUUGAGUGGACACCGUGAUCUCCAUUGACAGUGCCAUCUUUUGGCGGCACCCAUCAUUACCAUUAGAUGUUUAGGGAUAAUUUCCCUUGAUUAUCACUUGAUGGAUUUCAUGCAAAGUGCAUAUGUUGUACAAUAGAUUCUGAGUUUUAUGAGAGGAUGGUAUAUAGAGACCUUCUGUGUGUAGAUUCUUAUGAAAGUGUAAGUUCGGUGUGGCAUAACAGAAAUAUGACUCCACCUUUGUGUGUUUAUAGUAAUUAUGAACUGGCUUAGCAAAAAUGUGUGGUGCCUGUAAGCUCGUGGUCCUAAAUCAGACAUUUUAUGUUUUGUCUCGUAGUUUCUGAUGUAAAGAAUAUUUAGUUUAAUCCA